UGCAGUGAUCCAUACAAUUUUUAUGUCAUGCUGUAAAUGUUGUUGUAAACGAGUGAGUCUAUCGCGGCAAUUAAAAGGAAUUUUAAACUGUUAAUUAAGCAAUAAUUUUGUGUCUUGAUCAGGAAUUCUCACCCACUAAUCAUCCGCACAUGAGGCAUACGUCCCCCAGCCUGCCCUCUACUUUGGUAGGAGGAUAUACGACAACAAAGUAGUCAUGGACAUAGCUGAUCGCUGAC